rnacentral:rRNA from 1 species
ACGUGCCAGCAGCCGCGGUAAUACGUAGGUGGCAAGCGUUGUCCGGAAUUAUUGGGCGUAAAGGGCCGCAGGCGGUUUCUUAAGUCUGAUGUGAAAGCCCCCGGCUCAACCGGGGAGGGUCAUUGGAAACUGGGGAACUUGAGUGCAGAAGAGGAGAGUGGAAUUCCACGUGUAGCGGUGAAAUGCGUAGAGAGUGGAGGAACACCAGUGGCGAGCGACUCUCUGGUCUGUACUGACGCUGAGGAGCGAAAGCGUGGGGAGCGAACAGGAUUAGAUACCCUGGUAGUCCACGCCGUAAACGAUGAGUGCUAAGUGUUAGGGGUUUCCGCCCCUUAGUGCUGCAGCUAACGCAUUAAGCACUCCGCCUGGGGAGUACGGUCGCAAGACUGAAACUCAAAGGAAUUGACGGGGGCCCGCACAAGCGGUGGAGCAUGUGGUUUAAUUCGAGCAACGCGAAGAACCUUACCAGGUCUUGACAUCCUCUGACAAUCCUAGAGAUAGGACGUCCCCUUCGGGGGCAGAGUGACAGGUGGUGCAUGGUUGUCGUCAGCUCGUGUCGUGAGAUGUUGGGUUAGUCCCGCAACGAGCGCAACCCUUGAUCUUAGUUGCCAGCAUUCAGUUGGGCACUCUAAGGUGACUGCCGGUGACAAACCGGAGGAAGGUGGGGAUGACGUCAAAUCAUCAUGCCCCUUAUGACCUGGCUACACACGUGCUACAAUGGACAGAACAAAGGGCAGCGAAACCGCGAGGUUAAGCCAAUCCCACAAAUCUGUUCUCAGUUCGGAUCGCAGUCUGCAACUCGACUGCGUGAAGCUGGAAUCGCUAGUA